rnacentral:lncRNA from 1 species
AGUUGGCCCUGGAACUCAAGCCUGGAGGAGCUCCUCUGAUUGCUUCCUUUUAGACAGUCACGUGGUGACUGGUAAGACGUGGUACUUGUGCCUCCUCAGUUGUAUAACCACAUGCUCAAGAUGUGCGUGACAAACGUCAGACUAUUUGAAGACCACGAUCACUGGCCAAGGACAUGACCAGCCAUCUUGAAACUAACACAGACCACCAUAAUUGUUCUGCAGAAAUGAGCCUUAUAUGACCUUUCAUUAAGUCUAUUCCAAAUCUAAAUUUCUCCUCCACUUAUGUUACUAUACUUCAUUUGGAGAGUUUUUCAAAUGAACUUAACACUGAUUAGUCAUUCAGCAGAGCAUCAAUAAAAGUUUAGCAUGAAUGCCAGUGGUGGAAGAGAAGAGAGCCAUGUCUAAAGAUAUUCCUUCCUCACAAAGAGGUUGUAUAAGGAAAUCUCAAAAGUCCUUCAGGAUGUAGAAUCUAUACUUCUGCAUGGAAAAGCAGCCCAAGGAAACCAAGGAGAUGUCCUUCUA